rnacentral:rRNA from 1 species
GAGGUCCCGCCUGCCCUGUGACUAUAAGUUUAACGGCCGCGGUAUUUUGACCGUGCGAAGGUAGCGCAAUCACUUGUCUUUUAAAUGGAGACCUGUAUGAAUGGCAUAACGAGGGCUUAACUGUCUCCUCUUUCAAGUCAAUGAAAUUGAUCUUCCCGUGCAGAAGCGGGAAUACCUACAUAAGACGAGAAGACCCUAUGGAGCUUUAGACACCAAGGAGGGCCAUGUUAAGCACCCUAAUUAAAGGACUAAACCAAAUGAACCCUGCCCUAAUGUCUUUGGUUGGGGCGACCGCGGGGAAUUAAAUAACCCCCACGUGGAAUGGGAGCAUCCCUCCUAAAGCUAAGAGCCACAGCUCUAGUAAACAGAAUUUCUGACCAGUAAGAUCCGGCAAUGCCGAUCAACGGACCGAGUUACCCUAGGGAUAACAGCGCAAUCCUCUUUUAGAGCCCAUAUCGACAAGGGGGUUUACGACCUCGAUGUUGGAUCAGGACAUCCUAAUGGUGCAGCCGCUAUUAAGGGUUCGUUUGUUCAACGAUUAAAGUCCUACGUGA